rnacentral:rRNA from 1 species
ACGGCAGCACGGAGCUUGCUCUGGUGGCGAGUGGCGAACGGGUGAGUAAUAUAUCGGAACGUACCCUGGAGUGGGGGAUAACGUAGCGAAAGUUACGCUAAUACCGCAUACGAUCUAAGGAUGAAAGUGGGGGAUCGCAAGACCUCAUGCUCGUGGAGCGGCCGAUAUCUGAUUAGCUAGUUGGUGGGGUAAAGGCCUACCAAGGCAUCGAUCAGUAGCUGGUCUGAGAGGACGACCAGCCACACUGGAACUGAGACACGGUCCAGACUCCUACGGGAGGCAGCAGUGGGGAAUUUUGGACAAUGGGCGAAAGCCUGAUCCAGCAAUGCCGCGUGAGUGAAGAAGGCCUUCGGGUUGUAAAGCUCUUUUGUCAGGGAAGAAACGGUGGACUCUAAUACAGUCUGCUAAUGACGGUACCUGAAGAAUAAGCACCGGCUAACUACGUGCCAGCAGCCGCGGUAAU